AGAGGCUGCCGGGGUGUCGCUGUGCGUCGCGUCGCGUCCCGUCCCGUCUCGUCACGCUGAUCGCGUUGCAUUUCUCAGUCGCGUUGCAGUUCUCGUCACUGCAGCUGCUGGUAAGACACACAGGUGCCUACAAGAUGGAGCACAUUUUAUCAGCCUGAUAUUGCGAGUCACAAGAGCCCGGCGUCUGCAGUACAGUAGAGAGACGUUGCGUUGGCUGAUACCAACGAACGUAUCAUAACCUGAUCAUGCUGAGCUGUCUGAUGAUCGUGUACAGCUCAAUCUCUCGGUGACUGAAUGACAGAACUACACUGUCUACAGAGAAUCCGGCCUUCUCAUGAUGUGUCUGAAGUAUGGUCACCUCAGUGUCAUCAUUUGUGUUACAUCAUCACACAGGUCAUUACACAGAGCUGGAGACAUCAAAACAAAGCACAGGUGUACUGUCUUGGACAGACUGCUCUUCUACACUUCCUUUAUGCUGCGGACUGGGUACGGCCAGCGGUGGUAACAUUCAUCUUCCCUGCUGGAAAGUGCUGGCUUAUUUAAGUUUGCACAUACAAAUGAAAGUUCUUCUUCAUUGUGGUUCAGUUCAGAAGCUGGUGUCCACUUCACACGCUCACGCAGAGAUGCCAUUCCAACCAACUCAUUAAGGAAACAUGAGGUGUAGAUGCAGCAGUGACUCAGCAAAAAUAAAUCGUGCAAAAUACUUGGGACUGUAAUUUUUUUACAUUUUUUGCAUUAUUUAGCUGACACUUUGUUACAAAGUUAAGCUUAUGGCCUUUUCCCAUUUAUACAGCUGGAUAAUUUUCACUGGUGUAAUUUAGGGUAGCUACCUUGCUUAAAUAAAGGUACUACAGUAGAGCAGGAUUUAAAUCUGGGUAAUCUGAGGAAUUUGCCCCUGAAAUGCCUGAGGGGACCAUUUUUGACACGUGUCACAGACAGGCCAACCCCCUGCUCCCUGGCCUGAUGUGUGCAGCUAGAUGUUCCCCCUAACCACUGUCCAGCCGCAAGCUGGGUAUCUGUAAAGACAGGUAAACCAUCUACUUAAAUAUACACUUGUACAGGUAUCCCCCUUUAUACGGAUUUAAUUUGUUCCUGAAAACAGUCCAUAUACCAAGAGUCGGUAAGCCAGGAGGUCCUUUCCCAUUAUUUCAAAUGGGGAAAAAAAUUAUGUGUUCCUCAACUUUGCAGACAUGCCCAAGUGUUUCCAGAAAUACUCUU